CGGCAAGUUCGGUACGAAAUCACACGUGAAGUGCGCGGUCAUGUGUCGUGAGUGAAAUAUCCUUAUCGCCGGAUGGUGCCGCGAAGUGAUGAUACAGUGUCGCGACGUAUCCGGCAAUUUUGUGGAAUUUUAUAAGAAUGCAUGCGCCUGCGCCGACGCUGUUCAGAAUAAUAUAGGUGUUGCCGAGUGAUGCAGCCCAUUGGGGUAAGUGUGCGUGAGUGUGUGUGUGUGCGUGUGUUUUAGAAGUAUCCGUCGUCGCCGUGUCUGUUAUGACUUCAGUGUGGUUGCCGUCGUCGACCGAGAAAUUAGAAUAAACAUUUCUCAUCAACACGGCGAAUCACAUUGGAAACCGAAGAACGAAUAAUGAUAAAUAAUGAAGAAUAAUAUACGAUGAAAAUCGUUUAGAACGCGAGAUUGACGAUUGCGGUGCAGUUGCGGUUAUU